AAAUUGAAGAGUUUGAUCAUGGCUCAGAUUGAACGCUGGCGGCAGGCCUAACACAUGCAAGUCGAACGGUAACAGGAAGCAGCUUGCUGCUUUGCUGACGAGUGGCGGACGGGUGAGUAAUGUCUGGGAAACUGCCUGAUGGAGGGGGAUAACUACUGGAAACGGUAGCUAAUACCGCAUAACGUCGCAAGACCAAAGAGGGGGACCUUCGGGCCUCUUGCCAUCGGAUGUGCCCAGAUGGGAUUAGCUAGUAGGUGGGGUAACGGCUCACCUAGGCGACGAUCCCUAGCUGGUCUGAGAGGAUGACCAGCCACACUGGAACUGAGACACGGUCCAGACUCCUACGGGAGGCAGCAGUGGGGAAUAUUGCACAAUGGGCGCAAGCCUGAUGCAGCCAUGCCGCGUGUAUGAAGAAGGCCUUCGGGUUGUAAAGUACUUUCAGCGGGGAGGAAGGCGAUAAGGUUAA
rnacentral:rRNA from 1 species